rnacentral:misc_RNA from 1 species
AUUAAAAAAGUUAAUUUUCUAUUAAAUCCAUUAAUAAUUUUAAUAAAUUACUUUUUUAUUUAGUAUACAACCUUAAGGGUUUUCUAUAGUCCUUAAGGUUGGCUUUAAUAUAAAUACUAAUAAGUUAAUUCUAUAUACUCCUUACUUAUCAUCUCAGUGCACUGAAAUAUUAAUAAAAUUCUAUACUUAAUUUAGAAUUUUAUUCUCUCAUAAACUAUAAUAAUGGAACUAAUAACUAUUUAAAGUAUAUUAAGCUUUGUAUUAUUUUAUGCUCCCUAUGUUUUUAAUACUAUUCCCCAUUUAUUCCCCAUUGCGCUCUAACUUUUUAACAAUUACUUUACUAUUUUUAUAAAUACGAUUUUUAA